UAGGGAAUCUUCGGCAAUGGGGGGAACCCUGACCGAGCAACGCCGCGUGAGUGAAGAAGGAUUUCGGUUCGUAAAACUCUGUUGUUAGAGAAGAACAGCGCAUAGAGUAACUGUUAUGCGUGUGACGGUAUCUAACCAGAAAGCCACGGCUAACUACGUGCCAGCAGCCGCGGUAAUACGUAGGUGGCAAGCGUUGUCCGGAUUUAUUGGGCGUAAAGCGAGCGCAGGCGGUUAGAUAAGUCUGAAGUUAAAGGCAGUGGCUCAACCAUUGUAGGCUUUGGAAACUGUUUAACUUGAGUGCAGAAGGGGAGAGUGGAAUUCCAUGUGUAGCGGUGAAAUGCGUAGAUAUAUGGAGGAACACCGGUGGCGAAAGCGGCUCUCUGGUCUGUAACUGACGCUGAGGCUCGAAAGCGUGGGGAGCGAACAGG
rnacentral:rRNA from 1 species